rnacentral:rRNA from 1 species
AUUGAACGCUGGCGGCAUGCCUUACACAUGCAAGUCGAACGGUAACAGGGAGCUUGCUCCGCUGACGAGUGGCGAACGGGUGAGUAAUGUAUCGGAACGUACCUUUUAGUGGGGGAUAACGUAGCGAAAGUUACGCUAAUACCGCAUAUUCUUUGAGGAGGAAAGCAGGGGACCUUCGGGCCUUGCGCUAAUAGAGCGGCUGAUAUCAGAUUAGCUAGUUGGUGGGGUAAAGGAUCACCAAGGCGAUGAUCUGUAGCGGGUGUGAGGGGAUGAUCCGCCACACUGGAACUGAGACACGGUCCAGACUCCUACGGGAGGCAGCAGUGGGGAAUUUUGGACAAAGGGGGCAACCCUGAUCCAGCCAUGCCGCGUGAGUGAAGAAGGCCUUCGGGUUGUAAAGCUCUUUCGGCCGGGAAAAAAUCGCAUGGGUUAAUACCCCGUGUGGAUGAUGGUACCGGAAUAAGAAGCACCGGCUAACUACGUGCCAGCAGCCGCCGUAA